GCCAGGCAUGGUGGCACAUGCCUGUAGUCCCAGCUACUCAGGAGGCUGAGGCAGGAGAAUCGCUUGAACCCUGGAGGCUGAGGUUGCAGUGAGCCAAGAUCACACCACUGCAUUCCAGCCUGGGUGACAGAGUGAGACUCUGUCUCAA
ensembl:misc_RNA Metazoa_SRP Metazoan signal recognition particle RNA